AUGCCCGAAGGGUGACGAAGCGACGCCGCGUGGGUGAGGAAGGCCCUCGGGUUGUAAAGCCCUGUCAGGAGUUAAGAAAUGUAGGUGUGCCAAUAUCACGCCUAUUUGACGAAGGCUCCAAAGGAAGUCACGGCUAACUCUGUGCCAGCAGCCGCGGUAAUACAGAGGUGGCAAGCGUUGUUCGGAAUUAUUGGGCGUAAAGAGCACGUAGGUGGGUUUGUAAGUCAGAUGUGAAAGCCUCCUGUUCAACGGGAGAAUUGCAUCUGAAACUACUGAUCUUGAGUGUAGGAGGGGAGAAUGGAACUUCUGGUGGAGCGGUGAAAUGCGUAGAUAUCAGAAGGAACGCCGGCGGCGAAAGCGAUUCUCUGGCCUAUUACUGACACUCAGUGUGCGAAAGCUAGGGGAGCAAACGGGAUUAGAUACCCCGGUAGUCCUAGCCGUAAACGAUGGGCACUAAGUAGAGGGGU
rnacentral:rRNA from 1 species